rnacentral:rRNA from 1 species
UACGUAGGUGGCAAGCGUUGUCCGGAAUCACUGGGCGUAAAGGGCGCGUAGGUGGCGCCCCAAGUCGAUGGUGAAAGCUCGCCGCUCAACGGCGAGUCGGCCACCGAUACUGGGGCGCUUGAGCACUGUAGAGGCUAAUGGAAUUCCGGGUGUAGCGGUGGAAUGCGUAGAGAUCCGGAAGAACACCGGUGGCGAAGGCGGUUAGCUGGGCAGUUGCUGACACUGAGGCGCGACAGCGUGGGGAGCAAACAGG